AUUGUAAAUACCACGUGGCUGACAAAAAACAUGAAUGAAUAAGUUUAUGAAUGAAAUGACAUGGUUGGCGAGCCGGGGUUUAACGGAGUGGUGAACGUCCAAACUUUGAUUUUGGAGAAUUACUAUAUGAACUAAAAUGUCUGAAUAUUGUUACUUGGCAUGUUCAAAAGCUGAAAUUUUACUGGCUGAAGGGAUUAAGGAGCGCCUAUACUCUGGACACUAUGACAUCAUCAUUUCAUCCGCGACCGAUGAUUACAUUUCAUAUCAGACUCGGAGAACUCAGAUUCUCGACUGUAAAGUGUUUAUAGCCAUUAUAACACCCGAGUUCGUUAAAUGUGACAUAUAUUUGUACGAACUUUCACUUGCAUUGGAUCUGAAGAGAAAAAUCAUCGUGAUACAACAUGACACAGUUCAAGAACUUCCCGCGCCAUUUCCAAACUUACGAUCUGUAAGAUGGUGCAAAGAAUCAGAUUUUUUGGCAGAAAAGGUUUAUCAAAUUCUUGAGGAUCAAAACAGAGAGUUCCUUUUGGAAGACUGCUUUUUUGACAAUGACGCCUUGAAACGAUUUAUCUGGAAGUUCGAGGAAACGAAAAUCGGGGAGCAGCUCUCUCAACACGUAAGCCAUAAUCUAUAAAUACCUGUUUGCAAAUGAUGUUACAGAUGCCCAUGACUUAGGUCAUUGUGCUUUAACAUGAAAUUCUUUGGAAACGUAUUCAAAUACCGACAUAUUACAGUAUAUAAAUAUUUUCAAUUUGUUUUUAAGAUCAAUUAUUGGUAUCUUUGGAUAUUUUUAAAUGGUUAUUUAAACAUAAUGGAAUUUUUGGGGGGAACAGUUUUUUUUGGAUAUCUUUGAACUUUCAGAGAUGACACAAAAUUUAAAAAAAUAUGUCAAAUAAAACACGUGUAGGAUAAACCGGCUUUGUGUAUUCACGUUAAGGUGACAUCAGGAGAAUAUGUUUCAUCAGAACUUCAACUUCGAGACAUCCAAACAACCCUUAUCACACUAUGUGAGGGCAUCAACAAAAUUCAAGAAACAUCCCAACCUAGGAGAAAGGUCAGCAGACGACAGUUUCCACGAGACAUCCGGCGCGUGGCACGGCGUUACCAGGAUGUUAUAGUUCGGUCGCUAUCUGGAUCUGGAGGAGGACGAACUCGAUGAAAUAGAACAAUUUUCAGAGUAUGGAACAAAAGAGGCAUUUUGGCAGACGAUACGGUUCUGGCUGGAAAAGACAGACUCGUCAGAGCUCACUGUUGGAACAAUUAUAAAAGCAUUGAAGGAAUGUGAUGUGAAUCUCAAAGGAAAACAAAUGUCCAAUGCCCACAGAAAGGUCUUGAAAUCAAAGUUAGCCUGUUUAGUUGAAAACAUCCAGACCGAACCAUUGAUUCCUUCGUUAAUGUCAAGCAAUGUUCUCUGUGACGUGACAAAAGCGUACGUUACGGCGCCAAAAACAAGGGAUCAGCGGAUCAAUAGACUUGUCGAUGUCCUGAUGACCAAAGAGAAGGGGCUCCUUGUUUUCUGUGAAGUCUUACGGACCACGGGAUAUCAAUUUGUAGCUGAUGAAAUUAUAGCUGGUGUUGAACACGACCCGAUUGUGGGGAAACCAGUAGCGGUCCUGCGACCUCGCAGCAUGUCGUCUGCAACAGCUUCUGACCCUGAAUUAUACGUUAAACAAAUCAUUGACGAACACCGCCUGUCUAAGGCCAGCAGUACCAGUUCAGUGUUCAGCAGACGAGAUUCAACGUCAUCAACGAAAAUCGCCACCAUAGCACCCAGUGUAAGCAGCGACCAAAGCGUUGAUAAUAUUGAAACAAUCUCAAAAGGCAAAAGUGAAAAAACAAAAACCUCUCGUUCAAAGUAUGAAAGAAAAGUAAACAAUGAUUCCAAUGUUGCCAAUCAAAAAUUUGAAAGGAAAGGAAAAGGGACUUCUUCAUUGAACUGUGUCAACGGUUGCUCGUUAUCGUAAUUUCAUCUUAUUUCUCCAUUUUGUGUUAAAGAUAUUAUCUCCAUUAUUCAUUAUUUCUCAUUUAUUGUACAUAAAACAAAACCAAAGCGUUAGUUGGAGACAAAACCGUUCAUUAUUCUUAAAAUGUUUCAUUUUCAAUAUUAAAGAAUAAAUAG
rnacentral:misc_RNA from 1 species